rnacentral:rRNA from 1 species
UACGUAGGGUGCAAGCGUUAUCCGGAAUUAUUGGGCGUAAAGAGCUCGUAGGCGGUUUGUCGCGUCUGCUGUGAAAACUGGAGGCUCAACCUCCAGCCUGCAGUGGGUACGGGCAGACUAGAGUGCGGUAGGGGAGAUUGGAAUUCCUGGUGUAGCGGUGGAAUGCGCAGAUAUCAGGAGGAACACCGAUGGCGAAGGCAGAUCUCUGGGCCGGUACUGACGCUGAGGAGCGAAAGCGUGGGUAGCAAACAGG